UUAGAGGGACAAGCAAAAUCCCUCGGUUUCCUGCUGCUCUAAUGGCGAUACACCCUUCAAUUGUUAUACAACAACAAGAAAGAGCGAGAAAAGCUGAAGCCUUUGGCGGAGAAUGAAAUUGCAGCUGCAAAACAACUUGUUCAGCUUAGUGAUGAUGGGAAGGCAGAGAAGAAUAGGUGGGGUUUGAAUUCUUCUUCUCCUCCUCUUUCUUAUUCAGUGGAUGGCGGAGCAGUGGUUGAGGGGAAGAAGCCUUCUGCGAUUUCGAAGCCGAAGAGGCGGUUCAGGUCCCUCAGUUCUAUAUACACGAAGACCAGGCCUGUUGAUGACAUGAGGAAGAGAUUCAAGUGUCGAGAACAGUAGCCAUCUCUCUCCAUUAGAAUAGCUUUCUUUCUAUGUAUUUAUGCUGAUACAAAGUUUUUGAAAACAAAAGUAGCAAUUAAAAUCUUAACAAAGCAAUUGGUGUGUGCUGUGCAAUGAAUUGAUGCAAACAUGUGGAUUUUUAGUUCAUAUACAGUAGAAAUUAUUGUCAAUUUUAUUAUUAUAGAAGUUGUAAUAUAAUUACGUUUUUAAUUAUAUAUAAUUUGAAUUCAUAUCUAUUAAGCUCAAUAAAAUCGAUUCUACAAUGAAUAAUAUAUCAAUAUAAUAGAUUCUGAUAAUUAUAUGAUAAAUUCCAGAUUGAAAAGAUUAAAGGACAAUCACGAUAAUAUCCAAUAAGACUCCCACCCAAAUCUCUCUCACUUAAUGACCAGCAUUAUCCAGCUGCUCUCUCUCCAUCACUUGUUUGUGAGUUCAUGAAGAAAACGAAAACCCACAAACAGAGGGAUGAAUAUGUAGGUUGAAAAACAGGUUAUUUAAUUACCAAAAAAAUAAAAAUAAAACAUUAAUAAAAGUUGGCAAAAAUAUUGGUUUCUCUCUCAACCUCUAUCAAAAAAUAUUAAUAAAAAACAUUAAAAGAAAUUGGUUUAUGUCUUAAUCUACACUACAAAACCGAUUAACUGGAAAUGGGUCCGCGAGCUUGCUUAUUUGAUGUUGGCACCGUUUAGGAUGCAUGAGUAAACGUAGAGUACAAGUUAUUUCAGUUUUUAGAAUGACCCACGUUUAAGAAAAUUUUUUUUAGAAUGAAUGUCAAGUUUAGUUCAUUGCCGUGAUUAAAAAAAUGGAUUAAUGACUCGAAUCGGUUAUACCCAUACCCAUAUCGGAUCGGUAGAAUCAGUGGAUUGGAUUGGAAGAAUCGGUAGAAUUAGUAAUUUUUGUAUCAAUUUUUUUAAAAUAAUUAAAUAAAAACUAUUCUUCUUUUCUAUUUUUUAGUUUUUUUGCUUGACUCGAUGAAGAAUCGAUGGGAAUUGGUGAGAAUCGGUCGGACUCAGUGAAGAAUCGUCGGAAUUGACAGUUCCUCAAAAAAAUCAGCGAAUCUACUAUUCUGAAUCUACCGAAUGCUGGUUUUUUAUCGGAUCCGUCCAUGUGAUUUUUUUUUUGUUGCUGUUAAAAUGGUGGUAUUUGUUCCUUCAAACUUGGGUCAAUUGCUUGUUUAAAGUGGACAAGCAAUUGGUCAAGUAUUAUGGCAGCUGCCCUUUCCUUGUUUGGUUGUUUUCGUAGACGAAGUCUUGUUCAAAGGCCAUGAUAUCAUCGAACUUUGUCAAGAAAAUAUAAAGGUAUUUUGAAAUUAAAUUAAAAAGGAAGGAGUGAAGUGUUAAAUUAUUUAUCUCGUAUUACGCAUUAUAUGUAUUUAGAGUGAUUUAGGGCGGACAUUAAAUUUUUAGUAUUUUAAAAUACGAAAUGUUCCAUUCAUCGGCAAAAUGUGCAGGAACAUGUUGCACACUGACGAAGCUUUCAUUGAUGACAUCAACAGACACCCACAGUGUCGUGCGGCCCCCUUAGCAUCCCCUGCCGGUGGAAAUCAGACCUCUAGAACUCAUGAGGUGCAAGGGAUACGUUGUUCUACUAAUCAUUUGGCCUAUGGGGACUAGAUUCACCAGCUUCGGCGCUUAACUGUAUGGAUCUUCCUCUCAUUGAAAGAGGUUCAUAAGCCAGCAGUCAAGAGUCUUUAUGACCGUAACCUAUUUGGUUCGUCAUCCGCUGCUUCUCUUAAGCUGGAAGUUAGGAGUCUUCGCGACCUUAACCUGUUUGGUUUAUCUUCCGGCUACUAUCUUCCUCUGUAAUGGCCGGAGGGAUAUCUAUAAUAUGCUCCCUACUAUUCUUGACAGCGGCAGUAAGGUCAGGGUUAGAGAUAUGGAUAGCCCAUGUUGAGAUGUGCGAUUGGGUUCGUACAACCGUUGGGAAUAUAUAGACUCUCACAGGGAAGCCAAAGAGACUAUUUCUUGGGAAUGAAGGGUAAUGAUAAUGGUGUGUUGAGAAAUGGUGGCUUGGUUGGCAGUCCUACCGUUAAUGUUAAAGCUCCUUGAAUAAAAGGAAAUAUUUGAGAAGAUUGAGGCAUGUAUGCAUGACCAUAACAAAGAGAGAUGUAUGAUGUCGGUAACUCACCCAAACCACCAUACCUUGGGAUUCUUUCCCAAGUGCAAUGCCCGGGGGCAGUUUUGUUGGGUGUAAUUUUAAUCACAUAUGAGACUAUUUUUGGAAUUAUCCCACAAGUGCAAU